UAAACUGGGAUUAGAUACCCCAUUAUUUGAAAUUGUAAAUUGAUUUAUAUUCUACCUAAGUACUAUGAAUAAGAGUGUUUGAAAUUUAAAGGACUUGGCGGUAUCUUAGACUACUUAGGGGAACCUGUUUUUUAAUCGAUAGUCCUCGUUGUACCUUACCUUAGCUUGUUUUCAGUUUGUAUACCGUCGUCGUCAGUUAACUUUUAUAGAAUAAAUAAGUUAUCCUUUUAAAUUUUGUUUUAGAUGUCAGAUCAAGGUGCAGCUUAUGAAAUGGUAAAUAUGGGUUACAAUUAUUUAGUUAUAAUAUGAAUGAUUUUGUGAAAUAUAUUAUUUGAAAUAGGACUUAAAAGUAAUUAUAAUUUAGAGAUAUUUGAUGAAUAUGGCUCUUGGAUGUGCACACACCGCCCGUCACCCUCA
rnacentral:rRNA from 1 species